rnacentral:rRNA from 1 species
UCAGGAUGAACGCUAGCGACAGGCUUAACACAUGCAAGUCGAGGGGCAGCAUAAAAGUAGCAAUACGUUGGUGGCGACCGGCGCACGGGUGAGUAACGCGUAUGCAACCUACCUAUCAGAGGGGAAUAACCCGGCGAAAGUCGGACUAAUACCGCAUAAAACAGGGACACCGCAUGGUGAUAUUUGUUAAAGAAAUUCGCUGAUAGAUGGGCAUGCGUUCCAUUAGGUAGUUGGUGAGGUAACGGCUCACCAAGCCGACGAUGGAUAGGGGAACUGAGAGGUUGGUCCCCCACACUGGUACUGAGACACGGACCAGACUCCUACGGGAGGCAGCAGUGAGGAAUAUUGGUCAAUGGGCGAGAGCCUGAACCAGCCAAGUCGCGUGAAGGGAAAAGAAGGAUCUAUGGUUCGUAAACUUCUUUGCAGGGGAAUAAAGUGCAGGACGUGUCCUGUUUUGUAUGUACCCUGAGAAUAAGGAUCGGCUAACUCCGUGCCAGCAGCUGC